UACGUAGGGUGCGAGCGUUAAUCGGAAUUACUGGGCGUAAAGCGUGCGCAGGCGGUUGUGCAAGACAGAUGUGAAAUCCCCGGGCUUAACCUGGGAACUGCAUUUGUGACUGCACGGCUAGAGUGCGGCAGAGGGGAGUGGAAUUCCGCGUGUAGCAGUGAAAUGCGUAGAUAUGCGGAGGAACACCGAUGGCGAAGGCAGCUCCCUGGGCCUGCACUGACGCUCAUGCACGAAAGCGUGGGGAGCAAACAGG
rnacentral:ncRNA from 3 species